GGAUUUAAUGGCAAGGGAAAUAGCUCAGUCUUCAUUCUUACAAGACUCACAAUAUAAUGGUGGAUGCCAACAACUAAACAAAGCUAAAAUGGAGUGUGACAAGGAUGAUCAUGGGGAUGAGAUGUAGGGGCUGGGGAUGGGGAAGGUAUCCAGACCAGACUUGGAAGACCGAGAUCCUGGAAGAAGUACAUUUUAAGUUGAGUCCCAUCGGAAAGGGGGAACAGCAGGAGGCCUGGCGGCUGUUUCCUAGACGCUUUCCACGUGAAGUCCUCGUUUUGUAAGGCUAUAAACUGUCCCAGAUAGCAUCUCCUUCCCUCCCAUCAAGUCUAAAACUUCCAAGCCUCGACUCUCG
rnacentral:lncRNA from 1 species